rnacentral:rRNA from 1 species
UGGGGAAUCUUGCACAAUGGGGGAAACCCUGAUGCAGCGACGCCGCGUGAACGAUGAAGCCCUUCGGGGUGUAAAGUUCUUUCGACAGGAACGAUAAUGACGGUACCUGGAGAAGAAGCUGCGGCUAACUACGUGCCAGCAGCCGCGGUAAUACGUAGGCAGCGAGCGUUGUUCGGAGUUACUGGGCGUAAAGAGUGCGUAGGCGGCGAGCCAAGUUUGGUGUGAAAUCUCCCGGCUUAACCGGGAGGGUGCGCCGAAAACUGGUUGGCUGGAGUAUGGGAGAGGAGAGCGGAAUUCCUGGUGUAGCGGUGAAAUGCGUAGAUAUCAGGAGGAACACCUGCGGUGUAGACAGCUUUCUGGACCAAAACUGACGCUGAGGCACGAAAGCGUGGGUAGCAAACA